GAUGAACGCUGGCGGCGUGCCUAAUACAUGCAAGUCGAGCGAACGGACGAGAAGCUUGCUUCUCUGAUGUUAGCGGCGGACGGGUGAGUAACACGUGGAUAACCUACCUAUAAGACUGGGAUAACUUCGGGAAACCGGAGCUAAUACCGGAUGAUAUUUUGAACCGCAUGGUUCAAAAGUGAAAGACGGUCUUGCUGUCACUUAUAGAUGGAUCCGCGCUGCAUUAGCUAGUUGGUAAGGUAACGGCUUACCAAGGCAACGAUGCAUAGCCGACCUGAGAGGGUGAUCGGCCACACUGGAACUGAGACACGGUCCAGACUCCACGGGAGGCAGCAGUAGGGAAUCUUCCGCAAUGGGCGAAAGCCUGACGGAGCAACGCCGCGUGAGUGAUGAAGGUCUUCGGAUCGUAAAACUCUGUUAUUAGGGAAGAACAUAUGUGUAAGUAACUGUGCACAUCUUGACGGUACCUAAUCAGAAAGCCACGGCUAACUACGUG
rnacentral:rRNA from 1 species